rnacentral:tRNA from 1 species
GGUAAGAUGGCCGAGUGUCGUAGGCGUUAGGCUGUAGUCCUUUUAACAGAGGUUUAAUUCCUCUUCUUAUCG